AGCAAUUCUAGGAAGAGGAUAUAUUGCAUCGAUAGUUGCUGCAAACUGGAAUUACGAAUUAUAUAGUUAACAUGAUGGUUUAUUUUCUUUUCUGGUUUAUUAGUGUAUCAAGUUUAAGACGGACCAAGCACAGGAUGCUAAAAAGAUGGAAAAGCUGAAUAACAUAUUCUUUACUCUGAUGGCUCGCGGAUCUGAAGGUAAUGUCUUUUCCUGAGGGUUUUUCACAAGGCACGCUUACCAUAAAAUGUGUCAUUUUCUCAUUUUCUUAUUUAUUGUAACUUGGGGUUUGUAGUCCCUGUCCUAUUGACCCCGUUCUUUGACGCACUAUAAAAUAUUGUCUUGCACUUGUUAUUCUAGUGAAGAAUUUUUGCUCUCUUUUCUUCUGUAGUGGAUAUAUCAGAAGUAAGUGGUAAAGAUCAAGUAGAAGCACAGCCUGCCAAAAAGGGGAGGGGAAGGAAACAAUAGUGCUUCAUGAUCUGUAUGGAUUUUGGACAAAAUCACAAUUGUCAAGGGAACGUUUGAAACUAAUGUUGCUUUUAACCCAUCUUGUUCGGUUGCAAUGGUUUUUUGGUCAACUUCUAUAUAUUUGUAGGGAAUCAUGUGCUAAAUUCUUUGUUUUGUACCAAUUUUCUCGUUUUUUUUCUUCCAAGAUUCUCGUGAUUUUUGUUUUAUUUCUCGUACUCCAGUUGAAUUGUGGUUCAUAUAGGUGUCAUUAAUGAACUUUGCAUUCUUUCACUGGCUUUUAGUGUGUACAACACGUAUAUGAUUAUAUGUUGUAUGGUAUUUUCCUUUUUCCUUGUUUAAUCUUGUUCAGUGUUAUUCAAUCAUUCGUAUAUAUAAUGUCUUCAUGCUGCUUGAAA
rnacentral:lncRNA from 1 species